AAUAGGACCUUAGUAUAGUAUAAGUGUGUCUCUGUGAUUUCGGGCAUAGGUUGAGGGGGUACUUGUGCAUUUUCCCUAUAUUAAAUUCUAAACCUGCACAUAAGUGCGCCUACUGUAUACUUUAUGACUUUUAAAACAAAACUUUACAAAUGGCCAGCUAUACACAUUGGCCUUUCAAAAAAGUAAAAGCAAUUUACUAUACAAAGGAAUCUUAUCUUUUAUUUUUACAUUUUUCAAAGAUAUCUAUCCCUUUGUCUGUCACCUUUUUUGUUUAUAUCUAUCUUUAUGUCUUUUUCUUAUUUUGUCUUUGUCGUCAUUUUUGUUUGUCUACUAUAACUCUUUUUCUUCAUCCUUUAUCUUAUUUUACAUUCUUAUCUCUUCAUCUUUAUUCCAAAUCAAUAUCUGGUAUAACGUUAUCUUCUCCAUUGCAUUUGGAAAAUCUAUGAUCUGGUUGUAUUUAAACAAACAUUAUGGGUUUUAGGGAGUUUUCCAUCGUCUCCUUUUAUCUCAGGAUUUUUACUGUCUUCCGAUCGACGUAGCUUCGCAUUUUUAUAGUCAUGCUGCUGACUUAUAUUAGCUUUAGACUUCAGGUUAUCUUCAUUGGUCUUUACCUUUUGUAUCUCAUUGUCCGUACUAUCCACUUUAGUACAAAGUGUAGUAAUGGCUUUGAGUAGCUUUUCAAUUGUAUCUUCGUCUUUGUUCUCAGUCUGAGUAGCUUUGUCUUGAUAAGUAGUCUGCAACACCAUUCUUAUUAGUCUUUAUCACUUCAAUUAUAAAUGUAAAGUUUAAUAUAUUUAAUACCAAUCUUUUAAUUUCUUUCGUUGUUACUGAA